rnacentral:lncRNA from 1 species
UACGAGGAUGCCAAUUUUAAUUGUUCAAAUUGAUGCUUGAACUUAAGGGCUUUUCUCGUUCCUACUACACUAGAGAGCCAUCCAUAGCACAGCCUGGAUACAACCGGAAUAACAAUCUCAAAUACAAACAAAUGCAUGAGACUAAUAAAAAAACAAUCAAAUGCCGGAACGAUACAAGAGUGAAGGGAGGAGGGAUUCUGGUCACACACACACAUAUCGGUACCCGAUAAUUAAUGACCAGCCCUAGGAGUAUCCCUUAAUUAUUUAUUUGUGUAAUACGUUGCUACGUGCAUGCAUGCAUACUUGGUACGUAGCCUAGUAUGGAAUCUGCCCGACCAUGUGCGGCGGGCUGUAGCAGCAGAUGACAAACACGCCAACGUUGCCGUCACAGGGGACAGCGCCGCAGCCUAUGGACUUCGUGUCCCUCCACACCAACUCCAGGUAUCGAUCGCACGACUCACCCGUAGGUGCCGAGCAAGUGUUGGUGGCGUGAUCGUAGUACUGCUUCCCGGACGCCCAGUAAAACACUGCGUCCACUGCAUUCCAUUCGGUCCCACCCCGAAAAAGGUUCUCUCCGUAUGGGCGGACCUCCGGAGAUGGUAUUAACUGGCAGUCGGCGCGGCGCUUCUCCGCGUACGACUGUGCAUACGCCGCCACUAUGGGGUCCCACGUCAGCGGCCCCACGCCGACGGUGGCGCGCACUUCGUUGUGGGCGAUCAGCAUGUCUUCGGGCUCAUUCUGGGCGGUGACGACCAUGGCAGACGCGAGAGCUAAGAGCAGUGUAGCAGCUAGCUUUGGUGAGUACGCCAUCGCUAAUGCUGCCUUAGGAAAUGGAGGAAAGAAGUGCGUGUGUGUAAUGAUGGAUGAGAUUUGCUGUCACCGUGAGUUGUGUAUUUAUACUAGUGCACAAGCAGCUCGAUGGGUUGCUUCUCUAAAUAGGUAAUCUUUGAGUCUCUAUGUUAUUAUACUCUUUUCAAUAGGAAAACAAGACUCUCUGUUAUUAUACUCUUUUCAAUAGGAAAACAAGAAUAUCCACUUGUACAUACUGGGCAAAUUCCAAUACAUGUGCCUGGUCGAAAAAUUCAAGCCACUUAGGAAGCCGAGACCUCAUCAGUUCGAAAAAAUAAAUAAGCGAUGAUUUCACCUGUUUGAAAAAAGUAACCAACCUAUUGUGGCACCGUGGAUUAUUAACUUCCCCGGCAGCUGAUUUGGUCUGGCGCACGGUAGGUGUGGAAGAAAGAAUAUCCACUUGCCCGAUUUAAACCUUGAAGCCAACUAGUAAACGUAGACCUGAUCACCAGUUCAUAAAAAAUAAGCCAAGACCGCACUAGGUCAUAAAAAACAAGUACAUACCCCAAUAAUUUGAAAAAAGUCACCAACAUGCUAUGUCACCGUGAACGCUGCGUUAGGCCCUGCUGUAGGAAAAGCAUUGAUCCAUGGAUGCAUAGAAAAGCAAAGCGGUGCCUAUUACACACAAUACGCCAUAGAACGACAUUUGAUUAGCUUCUCAAGAGGCAGCCUGUGUAGCAGCAAUUCGUGCCCUUUAUUUGAAUAUAUGGCUCAAAUCUGAAAUCUCAUCUAUCAAGGUGAAUUGUGAGUGGAAGACACUAGUUUAAACUAGCCAAUGAAAUAUUUCUUACAUAUGCAAUUUCCAAGGCAAUAAAUGUAGCCUCCUUCCUUUCAUUGGACUUGCAUGAUCGAUGUAGAAAACGAUGCAUGCAUAGCCACUCAUCUCCUUUCUCUAAACUCUAUGAAUUAAAUAUGACGUGAGACUCAAAGCACUUUAACUCACUUAGACUCAAAAUGAGCCUAAUAUAAUGGAAAUCUGAAAAUUUUGAGAUGAACCCUAUAAACCGGAAAGGAGGGAGUAUGUUAUAUUGUGUUUGUUCUUUUCUCGUUCCUACUACACUAGAGACCCAUCCAUAGCAAAGCCUGGAUACAACCGGAAUAACAAUCUCAAAUACAAACAAAUGCAUGAGACAAAUACAAAAACAAUCAAAGCUCGGAACGAUACAAGAGUGAAAGGAGGAGGGAUUCUGGUCACAAACACACACACACACACAAUACGCCAUAGAACGACAUUUGAUUAGCUUCUCAAGAGGCAGCCUGUGUAGCAGAAAAUCAUGCCCUCUAUUUGAAACAGUAUUACAUACGAGAUUGAAUAUACCUGUCAUGUAUGCAUCCAAUUAAAUUAAUUAACGAUUUAUCUCAAGUGCAAGAGACAUUGGAAAAAAGGGAGUCAGGGUUGCCAAACAUGAUGGGCCGGGGAGAUCCUAUUUUUAGUGAUACUAGAUGACUUGUUGCCCCAAUUGACGAAACUGACGGAGUUACUCUAGAAGAAGUGUAUGGUAAUCUAUUUUCAAGAUUAUGGCCUUCAAAAAUAACAAAGUGAGAUCAUACUAAUAUGCAUUUUAGGUGGUUAAUUAUCGAUAUAUUUAAUCUAGGUAAAAUUGAAGCCAAUCAGUAAGCGGAGACCUCACCUGUUCGUACAAAAUUACCGGAGACCUCACGGGGUCCUAAAAAACAAGUGAAGACCUCAUCGGUUUGAAAAUGCAACCAAGAUUUUGUGUCACCAUGGAUGCCACGUGAGGGCCUGCUCAGGAAAACUUCGUUUCAUGGAUGCAUAUAAUAGUAAAGAAAUGUCCACUACACACGAUACGCUAGCCACACAACGACCUUCCGAGCAUAUGUGGAUUAUCUUCUCAAGAGGCAACCUGUGUUGUUGCCGAUCAUGCCCUCUAUUUGGAGCAGCGGUACGUACUAGAAUGAAUAUAUCCAGCAUACAUGCAUCCAGGUCAAUUAAUUCACGAUUUCGAUCAAGUGGAAGCGACAUGGGGAAAUAUAGUUGGGGUCGUCAAACACGAGGGAGCGAUCCUAGCUUUAAUGAUACGUAAUGACCUGUUGCGUCAAUUGGCGCAAAUGGCAGAGUUACGUCCAGAGAUAUGAAUGUUAAUAUAUUUCCAAGAUCAUUGACUUUCAAAAUAAACAAGCGAGAUCAUCAUAGUAUACGUUUUAUAUGGUGUGUACAAAUUGAACCCAAUAAGUGAACGGACACCUCAUAAUCUUGGUUGGCAUGGUUCUGCUUUGAUUCUUUCCAGCUACCCCUCAUCAAGAUUCAACCCAACGCCUUACUAGUACCGUUGUACAUGAUAUUUGCUGUAUGUGUUAUUUACCAAAAAUAUAUUCAAUCAUACUCAAUGUAAACAUAUAAGAACACAAUCUAGGAAUAGUCAACAUUAUGUCGCUAGCCUUAUUUAUACAUGUUAUUUUUAUUUUUUAUUUUUUUUGACCGGCUACUGUAGGGAAAACCCCCCACAGCCUUUUUCCUUUAUUCCCAUAUAUGAGAGCAAUAUGUACAAGAGGAAAUUAGAAUGUACAAAGGGGAAGGGGAGCAAAGACUACAAACCUCAAGGAGGCAAAAAGGAAACCCAUUUAAGGAGAUCAUCCCUGAAACUAGCCUUAAUUCUAUGAGCUAAUAGGAAAAUGUCAUGAAUGAAGCCAGAUCUCCAUUUUCUGAACUUUGGCUGCUCCUGGUUGAAGACCUUUGCAUUUCUGAUAGUCCAGAUGUUACAACAUGUAGUGAAGACCACCUCAGCAAAGAAGGGGUUAUGGAAGUCCCUUUUAGCAGCAACAGUAGCACUCCACAUGGAUGGACCCUGCCAUGUUAUCUGCAGAUAAUUUCAGACCCUGGUACUGAAGAGACGGGUGAAGAAUAAGUGAUCCCUGUCUUCCUUGACUCGAGCGUGACAUAGAACACAUAGAUUGGAGUCGGAAACAUUGCAGUGACGCCGUUCAAGCAUGUCUUGAGUAUUAAGCCUGUCCAUGAUGAGCAUCCAGGCAAACAUCUUAAUCUUCAUGGUACAACAACUUCUCCAGAUCAAGUUGAGUAAAGGAUUUGGUGUAAUACUGCUGUGAAUGUGAGCAUAGUAACUCUUGGCUGUGUAGGCCUUAGCAUCCUUUCCCCAUACCCAUCUGUCAGAGGCCUGAUGAUCAAGAUCCAGGUCUUGAAGCAAAGAUUGGACCGAAAGCAGGUCCUGGUAAGCUUGAGCAGACAGUGGUAAGUGGAACAUGGAGAGCAUGCUGUCAUCAUAAAAGGCUGUAAAGACCUCUUGAGCUGUGCAGAAAGGAUCAGUCACAAAAUAAAACAGUCUUUGGAAUCUGGCAGCCAGUGGCAUAAUGGAGUUUCCAAUCAACCAGGAGUUAGACCAAAACAGGAAGGAGUCACCCUUGUUCGGCACAACAUAUGUAACUGAUCUGAAUUUAUCAAGCUGUUUACAGAUAUCCUUCCACCAAAAAGAACCACAAAGGGCAGUUCCCUGAGGUACUGUGUCAUGAUAGUAGGUGUUCCAAAUGAAGUGAAACCAAGGGAUAUCAACAUGAUUGACGAAUUUAUCAACAUGCUUGAGCAGGAGUGCUUCAUUCUGGACUGCUAGGUUCAUAAUACUAGCCCCCCUUUAUUUUUAGGCCUGCACACCAGAGGCCAGGCAGCAAGAGAGGGUGCAUGAUCAUUCCCAUUUCUUCUCUAUAGACAUUGCCUUUGAAUUCUCUCAAGCAGCUUCAGUAUGCCUGGUGGGAUAUCCAGACUGCAUAGAAAGUUUUGGAAAUAUGCCCUAGAGGCAAUAAUAAAAUGGUUAUUAUCUUAUUUCCUUGUUCAUGAUAAUCGUCUAUUGUUCAUGCUAUAAUUGUAUUAACAGGAAACAGUAAUACAUGUGUGAAUAAAUAGAUCACAAUGUGUCCCUAGCAAGCCUCUAGUUGGCUAGCUCGUUAGUCAAUAGAUGAUCAUGGUUUCCUGAUCAUGGGCAUUAGAUGUCAUUGAUAACGGGAUCACAUCAUUGGGAGAAUGAUGUCAUGGACAAGACCCAAUCCUAAGCCUACCACUAGAUCGUAUUGUUCGUAUGCUAAUGCUUUUCUAAUGUCAAGUAUCUUUUCCUUCGACCGUGAGAUUGUGCAACUCCCGGAUACCGUAGGAGUGCUUUGGGUGUAUCAAACAUCACAACGUAACUGGGUGACUAUAAAGGUGCACUAUGGGUACCUCCGAAAGUGUCUGUUGGGUUGGUACGAAUCCAGAUCAGGAUUUGUCACUCCGUGUGACGGAGAGGUAUCUCUAGACCCACUCGGUAGAACAUCAUCAUGAGCUCAAUAUGACUAAGGAGUUGGUCAUACGAUCACGUGCUACAGAACGAGUAAAGAGACUUACCGGUAACGAGAUUGAACAAGGUAUAGGUAUACCGACGAUCGAAUCUCGGGCAAGUUCUAUACCGACAGACAAAGGGAAUCGUAUACGGGAUUGAUUGAAUCCUUGACAUCGUGGUUCAUCCGAUGAGAUCAUCGUGGAGCAAGUGGGAGCCACCAUGGGUAUCCAGACCCCACUGAUGUUUAUUGGCCAGAGAGGUGUCUCGGUCAUGUCUGUCUGUCUUCCGAACCCGUAGGGUCUACACACUUAAGGUUCGAUGACGCUAGGGUCAUAGGGAAUUGUUAUACGAGGUUACCGAAAGUUGUUCGGAGUCCCGGAUGAGAUCCCGGACACCACGAGGAGCUCCGGAAUGGUCCGGAGGUAAAUAUUGAUAUAUAGGACGGAUGGUUUCGGAUACCGGAAGUGUUUCGGGCAUCACCGGUAACGUACCGGGACCACCGGAGGUGGCCCUGGGGGACCACCGAAGGGGGGCAACGACCCCGGGAGGUAAGGUGGGCCAAGUGGGGGUGGGAACCAGCCCCUAGGUGGGCGGGUGCGCCUCCCCACUCAGCCCAUAGCGCAAGGGAGAGAAAAGGGGGGCAAACCCUAUGCCAGGUGGGCCUAAGGCCCACCAGAUGGUGCGCCACCCCCUCCUCCCCCCUCUGGCCGCCGCACCACCCAUCUGGGAGGGCUGCCGCACCCCCUAGGGUGGGAACCCUAGGGGUGGCACCCCCUCUCCCCUCCCCCUAUAUAUAUCGGGCACUUUUGGCCAUUGAGACACACGGUUUUUCCUCUCUCUCGGCGCAGCCCCGCUCCUCUCCCUCCUCCUCUGUGCCGGUGCUUGGCGAAGCCCUGCCGGGAGACCUCAUCUCUCCAUCGACACCACGCCGUUGUGUUGCUGGAGUUCUUCCCCAACCUCUCCCUCCUCCUUGCUGGAUCAAGGUGCGGGAGACGUCACCGGGCUGCACGUGUGUUGAACGCGGAGGUGUCGUAGUUCGGCACUAGAUCGGAAUCGCCGCGAGUAUGACUCUGUUGGGGAACGUCGCAUGGGAAACAAAAAUUUUCCUACGCGCACGAAGACCUAUCAUGGUGAUGUCCAUCUACGAGAGGGGAUGAGUGAUCUACGUACCCUCGUAGACCGUACAUCAGAAGCGUUAGAGAACGCGGUUGAUGUAGUGGAACGUCCUCACGUCCCUCGAUCCGCCCCGCGAACAAUCCCGCGAUCAGUCCCACGAUCUAGUACCGAACGGACGGCACCUCCGCGUUCAGCACACGUACAACUCGACGAUGAUCUCGGCCUUCUUCAUCCAGCAAGAGAGACGGAGAGGUAGAAGAGUUCUCCGGCAGCGUGACGGCGCUCCGGAGGUUGGUGAUGACCUUGUCUCAGCAGGGCUCCGCCCGAGCUCCGCAGAAACGCGAUCUAGAGGAAAAACCGUGGAGGUAUGUGGUCGGGCUGCCGUGGAAAAAUCGUCUCAAAUCAGCCCUAAAACCUCCGUAUAUAUAGGUGGUAGGGAGGGGGCCUUGCCUUGGGGCUCAAGGAGCCCCAAGGGGGUCCGCCGAGUCCAAGGGGGAGGACUCUCCCCCCCCAAACCGAGUUGGACUAGGUUUGGUGGGAGGGAGUCCGCCUUCCUUCCCACCUCCUCCUUUUUUUUUCUUUCUCUCUUGAUUUUCUUCUCCUUGGAGCAUAGGGCACUUGUGGGCUGUCCCACCAGCCCACUAAGGGCUGGUGUGGCUCCCCCAAUGCCUAUGGGCUUCCCCGGGGUGGGUUGCCCCCCCGGUGAACUCCCGGAACCCAUUCGUCAUUCCCGGUACAAUCCCGGUAACUCCGAAAACCUUCCGGUAAUCAAAUGAGGUCAUCCUAUAUAUCAAUCUUCGUUUCCGGACCAUUCCGGAAACCCUCGUGACGUCCGUGAUCUCAUCCGGGACUCCGAACAACAUUCGGUAACCAACCAUAUAACUCAAAUACGCAUAAAACAACGUCGAACCUUAAGUGUGCAGACCCUGCGGGUUCGAGAACUAUGUAGACAUGACCCGAGAGACUCCUCGGUCAAUAUCCAAUAGCGGGACCUGGAUGCCCAUAUUGGAUCCUACAUAUUCUACGAAGAUCUUAUCGUUUGAACCUCAGUGCCAAGGAUUCGUAUAAUCCCGUAUGUCAUUCCCUUUGUCCUUCGGUAUGUUACUUGCCCGAGAUUCGAUCGUCAGUAUCCGCAUACCUAUUUCAAUCUCGUUUACCGGCAAGUCUCUUUACUCGUUCCGUAAUACAAGAUCCCGCAACUUACACUAAGUUACAUUGCUUGCAAGGCUUGUGUGUGAUGUUGUAUUACCAAGUGGGCCCCGAGAUACCUCUCCGUCACACGGAGUGACAAAUCCCAGUCUUGAUCCAUACUAACUCAACUAACACCUUCGGAGAUACCUGUAGAGCAUCUUUAUAGUCACCCAGUUACGUUGCGACGUUUGAUACACACAAAGCAUUCCUCCGGUGUCAGUGAGUUAUAUGAUCUCAUGGUCAUAGGAAUAAAUACUUGACACGCAGAAAACAGUAGCAACAAAAUGACACGAUCAACAUGCUACGUCUAUUAGUUUGGGUCUAGUCCAUCACAUGAUUCUCCUAAUGAUAUGAUCCCGUUAUCAAGUAACAACAAUUGCCUAUGGCCAGGAAACCUUGGCCAUCUUUGAUCAACGAGCUAGUCAACUAGAGGCUUACUAGGGACAGUGUUUUGUCUAUGUAUCUACACAUGCACUGUGUUUCCAAUCAAUACUUAUAGCAUGGAUAAUAAACAAUUAUCAUGAAUUAAGAAAUAUAAUAAUAACUAAUUUAUUAUUUCCUCUAGGGCAUAUUUCCAAGAGUCUCCCACUUGCACUAGAGUCAAUAAUCUAGUUCACAUGACCAUGUGAUUCCAACGAAUCCAACACCCAUAUAGUUAUGGAGUCUGAUCACGUCCUGCUCUUGAGAGAGGUUUUAGUCAACGGUUCUGAAACUUUCAGAUCCGUGUGUUCUUUACAAAUCUUUAUGUCAUCCUAUAGAUGCUGCUACUAUGUGCUAUUCGGAAAUACUCCAAAUAUCUACUCUACUAUACGAAUCCGUUUCACUACUCAUAGUUAUUCGGAUUAGUGUCAAAGCUUGCAUCGACGUAACCCUUUACGACGAACUCCUUAAGCAUCUCCAUAAUCGAGAAAAAUUCCUUAGUCCAUUAGUUACUAAGGAUAAAUUUUGACCGCUGCUAGUGAUUCAAUCAUGGAUCACUCUCUGUACCUCUUAACAUACUUUGAGUCAAGGCACACAGGUCAGGGUGCGGUACACAGCAUGGCAUACUUUAGAUUCUACGGCUAAGGCAUAGAAGACGACCUUCGUCUAUUCUCUUUAUUCUACCGGGGUCGGGUUUUGAGUCUUACUCAAAUCACACCUCACAACGCAACCAAGAACUCCUUCUUUGCUGAUCUAUUUUGAACUCCUUCAAAAACUUGUCAAGGCAUGCAUCUUGUUGAAACUUCCAUUAAGCGCUUUCGAUCUAUCUCCAUAGAUCUUUGAUGCUCAACGUUCAAGUAGCUCAAUCCAGGUAUUCCUUUGAAAACUACUUUCAAACAACCUUGUAUGUUUUACAGAAAUUCUACAUUACUUCUGAUCCACAAUAUGUCAACCACAUAUACUUAUCAGAAAUUCUACAGUGCUCCCACUCACUUCUUUGGAAAUACAAGUUUCUCAUAAACCUUGUACAAACCAAAAAUCUUUGAUCAUCUCAUCAAAGUGUAUAUUCCAACUCCGAGAUGCUUGCACCAGUCCAUUGAAGGAUCACUGGAGCUUGCAUACUUGCUAGUAUCUUUAGGAUCGACAAAACCUUCUGGUUGUAUCACAUACAAUGUUUGCUCAAGGAAACCGUCGAGAAAACAAUGUUUUGACAUCCUACGUGCAAUAUUUCAUAAAUAAUGCAUCAACAACUAACAUAAUUCUAACAGACCUUUAGCAUCGCUAGGAGUGAGAAAGUCCCAUCAUAGUCAACUGUUUGAUCUUGUCGAAAACAUCUUUGCGACAAGUCGAGCUUUUCUUAAUAGUGACUUAUCACCAUCAUCGUCUGUCUUCUUUUAAAGAUCCAUCUUUACUCAAUAGUCUUAUGACCAUCAAGUAGUUCUUUCAAAGUCUACACUUUGUUUUCAUACAUGGAUCCUCUCUCGGAUUUCAUGGCUUCCAGCCAUUUGUCGGAAUCUGGGCCCACCAUCGCUUUAUCCAUAACUCGUAGGUUCACUGUUGCUCAACAACAUGACCUCCAAGACAGGGUUACCGUACCACUCUGUAGUAGUAUGCGACCUUGUCAACCUACGAGGCUUGUAGUAACUUGAUCCGAUGCUUGAUGAUCACCAUCAUUAGCUUCCACUUCAAUUGGUGUAGGCGCCACAGGAACAACUUCCUGCGCACUGCUACACACUGGUUGAAGUGAUGGUUCAAUAACCUCAUCAAGUUCUACUACCCUCCCACUCAAUUCUUUCGAGAGAAACCUUUCCUCGAGAAAGGAUCCGUUUCUAGAAACAAACACUUUGCUUUCGGAUCUGAGAUAGGAGAUGUACCCAACUGUUUUGGAUAUCCUAUGAAGAUGCAUUUAUCCGCUUUGAGUUCGAGCUUAUCAGACUGAAACUUUUUCACAUAAGUGUCGAAGCCCCAAACUUUCAAGAAACGACAGUUUAGAUUUCUCUAAACCUCAAUCUAUACUGUGUCAUCUCAACGGAAAUACGCGGUGCCCUAUUUAAAGUGAGUGCGGUGUCUAAUGCAUAACCCAUAAACGAUAGUGGUAUUUCGAUAAGAGACAUCAUAGUAUGCACCAUACCAAAUAGUGCGUGGCUAUGACGUUCAGACACAUCAUCACACUAUGAUGUUCCAGGUGGCAUGAACUGCGAAACAAUUUCCACAUUGUCUUAACUGCGUACCAAAAUUCGUAACUCAGGUAUUCAUUUCUAUGAUCAUAUCGUAGACAGUUUAUCCUCUUGUUACGACGAACUUCACUCUGAAACGGAUUUGAACUUUUCAACAUUUCAGACUUGUGAUUCAUUAAGUAAAUACUCCUAUAUCUACUCAAAUCGUCAGUGAAGUAAGAACAUAAUGAUAUCCACUGCGUGCCUCAGUACCCAUUGGACUGCAUACAUCAAAAUGUAUCACUUCCAACAAGUUAAUAUCUUAUUUCAUCUCAAUGAAAACAAGGUCUUGCUCAUGUGGUAUGGUUUGCAUGUCACUAGUGAUUUGAAAUCAUGUGAGUACAAAGAUCCAUCAGCAUGGAGCCUCUUCAUGCAAUUUAUACUAACAUGACUCAAGCGCCAGUGCCACAAGUAAGUGGUACUAUCAUCAUUAACUCGUAUCUUUUUGGCACCAAUAUUAUGAACAUGUGUAACACUACGAUCGAGAUUCAAUAAACCAUUGAAGGUGAUUAUUCAAGAAAAUAGAGUAACCAUUAUUCUCUUUAAAUGAAUAAUCGUAUUGCAAUAAACACGAUCCAAUCAUGUUCAUGCUUAACGCAAGCACCAAAUAACAAUUAUUUAGGUUUAACACCAAUCCCGAUGGUAGAGGGAGCGUGCGACGUUUGAUCAUAUCAACCUUGGAAACACUUCCAACACGUAUCGUCACCUCGCCUUUAGCUAGUCUCCAUUUAUGCCGUAGCUUUCAUUUCGUGUUACUAAUCACUUAGCAACCGAACCGGUAUCCAAUACCCUCAUGCUACUAGGAGUACUAGUAAAGUACACAUCAACAUCAUGUAUAUCAAAUAUACUUCUUUCGACUUUUGCCAGCCUUCUUAUCUACCAAGUAUCUAGAGUUGCUCCGCCUCAGUGACUGUUCCCCUCAUUACAGAAGCACUUAGUCUCGGGUUUGGGUUUAAUCUUGGGUCUCUUCAUUAGUGCAGCAAUUGUUUUGCCGUUUCACGAAGUAUCCCUUCUAGCCCUUGCCUUUCUUGAAACUUAGUGGUUUUACAAACCAUCAACUAUUGAUGCUCCUUCUUGAUUUCUACUUUCGCAGUGUCAAACAUCGCGAAUCGCUCAAGGAUCAUUGUAUCUAUCCUUGAUAUGUUAUAGUUCAUCACGAAGCUCUCACAGCUUGGUGGCAGUGACUUUGGAGAACCAUCACUAUCUCAUCUGGAAGAUUAACUCCCACUUGAUUCAAGUGAUUGUCGUACUCAGACAAUCUGAGCACACGCUUAACGAUUGAGCUUUUCUCCUUUACUUUGUGGACAAAGAAUCUUGUCGAAGGUCUCGUACCUCUCAACAAGGGCACGAGCAUGAAAUCACAAUUUCAUCUCUUUCGAACAUCACUUAUGUUCCGUGACGUUUCAAAACGUCUUCGGUGCCUUGCUUCUAAGCCAUUAAGUAUUUUGCACUGAACUAUCGUGUAGUCAUCAGAAACGUGUAUGUCGGAUGUUCACAGCAUCCACAGACGAUGCUCGAGGUGCAGCACACCGAGUGGUGCAUUAAGGACAUAAGCCUUCUGCGCAGCAACGAGGACAAUCCUCUUCAAAGUUUGCUACUAUCAACUUUCAACUAAAUUUUCUCUAGGAACAUAUAAAAACAGUAGAGCUAUAGCGCAAGCUACAUCGUAAUUCGCAAAGACCAUUAGACUAUGUUCAUGACAAUUAGUUCAAUUAAUCAUAUUACUUAAGAACUCCCACUCAAAAAGUACAUCUCUCUAGUCAUUUGAGUGGUACAUGAUCCAAAUCCACUAUCUCAAGUCCGAUCAUCACGUGAGUCGAGAAUAGUUUUAGUGGUAAGCAUCUCUAUGCUAAUCAUAUCAACUAUACGAUUGAUGCUCGACCUUUCGGUCUCAUGUGUUCCGAGGCCAUGUCUGCACAUGCUAGGCUCGUCAAGCUUAACCCGAGUGUUCCGCGUGCGCAACUGUUUUGCACCCGUUGUAUGUGAACGUUGAGUCUAUCACACCCGAUCAUCACAUGGUGUCUCGAAACGACGAACUGUAGCAACGGUGCACAGUCGGGGAGAACACAAUUUUGUCUUCAAAUUUUAGUGAGAGAUCACCUCAUAAUGCUACCGUCGUUCUAAGCAAAAGGAUUAACAUCACAUGCAAUUCAUAAGUGACAUGAUAUGGCCAUCAUCACGUGCUUCUUGAUCUCUAGCACCAAAGCACCGGCACGAUCUUCUUGUCACCGGCAUCACACCAUGAUCUCCAUCAACAUGAUCUCCAUCAACGUGUCGCAAUCGGGGUUGUCGUGCUACUCAUGCUAUUACUACUAAAGCUACGUCCUAGCAAAAUAGUAAACGCAUCUGCAAGCACACACGUUAGUAUAAAGACAACCCUAUGGCUCCUGCCGGUUGCCGUACCAUCGACGUGCAAGUCGAUAUUUCUAUUACAACAUGAUCAUCUCAUACAUCCAAUAUAUCACAUCACAUCGUUGGCCAUAUCACAUCACAAUCAUACCCUGCAAAAACAAGUUAGACGUCCUCUAAUUUUGUUGUUGCAUGUUUUACGUGGUGACCAAGGGUAUCUAGUAGGAUCGCAUCUUACUUACGCAAACACCACAACGGAGAUAUAUGAGUUGCUAUUUAACCUUAUCCAAGGACCUCCUCGGUCAAUUCCGAUUCAACUAAAGUUGGAGAAACCGACACUUGCCAGUCAUCUUUGAGCAAAGGGGGUUACUCGUAACGAUGAAACCAGUCUCUCGUAAGCGUACGAGUAAUGUCGGUCCAAGCCGCUUCAAUCCAACAAUACCGCGGAAUCAAGAAAAGACUAAGGAGGGCAGCAAAACGCACAUCACCACCCACAAAAACUUUUGUGUUCUACUCGAGAAGACAUCUACGCAUGAACCUAGCUCUGAUACCACUUUUGGGGAACGUCGCAUGGGAAACAAAAAAUUUCCUACGCGCACGAAGACCUAUCAUGGUGAUGUCCAUCUACGAGAGGGGAUGAGUGAUCUACGUACCCUCGUAGACCGUACAGCAGAAGCGUUAGAGAAACGCGGUUGAUGUAGUGGAACAUCCUCACGUCCCUCGAUCCGCCCCACGAMAAAUCCCGCGAUCAGUCCCACGAUCUAGUACCGAAACGGACGGCACCUCCGCGUUCAGCACACGCACAGCUCGACGAUGAUCUCGGCCUUCUUGAUCCAGCAAGAGAGACGGAGAGGUAGAAGAGUUCUCCGGCAGCGUGACGGCGCUCCGGAGGUUGGUGAUGACCUUGUCUCAGCAGGGCUCCGCCCGAGCUCCGCAGAAACGCGAUCUAGAGGAAAAACCGUGGAGGUAUGUGGUCGGGCUGCCGUGGGRAAAGUCGUCUCAAAUCAGCCCUAAAACCUCCGUAUAUAUAGGUGGUAGGGAGGGGGCCUUGCCUUGGGGCUCAAGGAGCCCCAAGGGGGUCGGCCGAGUCCAAGGGGGAGGACUCUCCCCCCCCAAACCGAGUUGGACUAGGUUUGGUGGGAGGGAGUCCCCCUUCCUUCCCACCUCCUCCUUUUUUUUUCUUUCUCUCUUGAUUUUCUUCUCCUUGGAGCAUAGGGCACUUGUGGGCUGUCCCACCAGCCCACUAAGGGCUGGUGUGGCUCCCCCAAUGCCUAUGGGCUUCCCCGGGGUGGGUUGCCCCCCCGGUGAACUCCCGGAACCCAUUCGUCAUUGCCGGUACAUUCCCGGUAACUCCGAAAACCUUCCGGUAAUCAAAUGAGGUCAUCCUAUAUAUCAAUCUUCGUUUCCGGACCAUUCCGGAAACCCUCGUGACGUCCGUGAUCUCAUCCGGGACUCCGAAUAACAUUCGGUAACCAACCAUAUAACUCAAAUACGCAUAAAACAACGUCGAACCUUAAGUGUGCAGACCCUGCGGGUUCGAGAACUAUGUAGACAUGACCCGAGAGACUCCUCGGUCAAUAUCCAAUAGCGGGACCUGGAUGCCCAUAUUGGAUCCUACAUAUUCUACGAAGAUCUUAUCGUUUGAACCUCAGUGCCAAGGAUUCGUAUAAUCCCGUAUGUCAUUCCCUUUGUCCUUCGGUAUGUUACUUGCCCGAGAUUCGAUCGUCAGUAUCCGCAUACCUAUUUCAAUCUCGUUUACCGGCAAGUCUCUUUACUCGUUCCGUAAUACAAGAUCCCGCAACUUACACUAAGUUACAUUGCUUGCAAGGCUUGUGUGUGAUGUUGUAUUACCGAGCGGGCCCCGAGAUACCUCUCCGUCACACGGAGUGACAAAUCCCAGUCUUGAUCCAUACUAACUCAACUAACACCUUCGGAGAUACCUGUAGAGCAUCUUUAUAGUCACCCAGUUACGUUGCGACGUUUGAUACACACAAAGCAUUCCUCCGGUGUCAGUGAGUUAUAUGAUCUCAUGGUCAUAGGAAUAAAUACUUGACACGCAGAAAACAGUAGCAACAAAAUGACACGAUCAACAUGCUACGUCUAUUAGUUUGGGUCUAGUCCAUCACAUGAUUCUCCUAAUGAUGUGAUCCCGUUAUCAAGUAACAACAAUUGCCUAUGGCCAAGAAACCUUGGCCAUCUUUGAUCAACGAGCUAGUCAACUAGAGGAUUACUAGGGACAGUGUUUUGUCUAUGUAUCCACACAUGCACUGUGUUUCCAAUCAAUACAAUUAUAGCAUGGAUAAUAAACAAUUAUCAUGAACUAAGAAAUAUAAUAAUAACUAAUUUAUUAUUUCCUCUAGGGCAUAUUUCCAACAGUCUCCCACUUGCACUAGAGUCAAUAAUCUAGUUCACAUGACCAUGUGAUUCCAACGAAUCCAACACCCAUAUAGUUAUGGAGUCUGAUCACGUCCUGCUCUUGAGAGAGGUUUUAGUCAACGGUUCUGAAACUUUCAGAUCCGUGUGUUCUUUACAAAUCUUUAUGUCAUCUUAUAGAUGCUGCUACUAUGUGCUAUUCGGAAAUACUCCAAAUAUCUACUCUACUAUACGAAUCUGUUUCACUACUCAUAGUUAUUCGGAUUAGUGUCAAAGCUUGCAUCGACGUAACCCUUUACGACGAACUCCUUAAGCACCUCCAUAAUCGAGAAAAAUUCCUUAGUCCAUUAGUUACUAAGGAUAAAUUUUGACCGCUGCUAGUGAUUCAAUCAUGGAUCACUCUCUGUACCUCUUAACAUACUUUGAGUCAAGGCACACAGUCAGGUGCGGUACACAGCAUGGCAUACUUUAGAUUCUACGGCUAAGGCAUAGAAGAUGACCUUCGUCUAUUCUCUUUAUUCUGCCGGGGUCGGGUUUUGAGUCUUACUCAAAUUCACACCUCACAACGCAACCAAGAACUCCUUUGCUGAUCUAUUUUGAACUCCUUCAAAAACUUGUCAAGGCAUGCAUCUUGUUGAAACUUCCAUUAAGCGCUUUCGAUCUAUCUCCAUGUUUUUGUCAAGGUACAACUUGUCAAGGUACAACUCAACGUUCAAGUAGCUCAAUCCAGGUAUUCCUUUGAAAACUCCUUUCAAACAACCUUGUAUGUUUUACAGAAAUUCUACAUUACUUCUGAUCCACAAUAUGUCAACCACAUAUACUUAUCAGAAAUUCUAUAGUGCUCCCACUCACUUCUUUGGAAAUACAAGUUUCUCAUAAACCUUGUACAAACCAAAAAUCUUUGAUCAUCUCAUCAAAGUGUAUAUUCCAACUCCGAGAUGCUUGCACCAGUCCAUUGAAGGAUCACUGGAGCUUGCAUACUUGCUAGUAUCUUUAGGAUCGACAAAACCUUCUGGUUGUAUCACAUACAAUGUUUGCUCAAGGAAACCGUCGAGAAAACAAUGUUUUGACAUCCUACGUGCAAUAUUUCAUAAAUAAUGCAUCAACAACUAACAUAAUUCUAACAGACCUUUAGCAUCGCUAGGAGUGAGAAAGUCCCAUCAUAGUCAACUGUUUGAUCUUGUCGAAAACAUCUUUGCGACAAGUCGAGCUUUUCUUAAUAGUGACUUAUCACCAUCAUCGUCUGUCUUCUUUUAAAGAUCCAUCUUUACUCAAUAGUCUUAUGACCAUCAAGUAGUUCUUUCAAAGUCUACACUUUGUUUUCAUACAUGGAUCCUCUCUCGGAUUUCAUGGCUUCCAGCCAUUUGUCGGAAUCUGGGCCCACCAUUGCUUUCUCCAUAACUCGUAGGUUCACUGUUGCUCAACAACAUGACCUCCAAGACAGGGUUACCGUACCACUCUGUAGUAGUAUGCGACCUUGUCAACCUACGAGGCUUGUAGUAACUUGAUCCGAUGCUUGAUGAUCACCAUCAUCAGCUUCCACUUCAAUUGGUGUAGGCGCCACAGGAACAACUUCCUGCGCACUGCUACACACUGGUUGAAGUGAUGGUUCAAUAACCUCAUCAAGUUCUACUACCCUCCCACUCAAUUCUUUCGAGAGAAACCUUUCCUCGAGAAAGGAUCCGUUUCUAGAAACAAACACUUUGCUUUCGGAUCUGAGAUAGGAGAUGUACCCAACUGUUUUGGAUAUCCUAUGAAGAUGCAUUUAUCCGCUUUGAGUUCGAGCUUAUCAGACUGAAACUUUUUCACAUAAGUGUCGAAGCCCCAAACUUUCAAGAAACGACAGUUUAGAUUUCUCUAAACCUCAAUCUAUACUGUGUCAUCUCAACGGAAAUACGCGGUGCCCUAUUUAAAGUGAGUGCGGUGUCUAAUGCAUAACCCAUAAACGAUAGUGGUAUUUCGAUAAGAGACAUCAUAGUAUGCACCAUACCAAAUAGUGCGUGGCUAUGACGUUCAGACACAUCAUCACACUAUGAUGUUCCAGGUGGCAUGAACUGCGAAACAAUUUCCACAUUGUCUUAACUGCGUACCAAAAUUCGUAACUCAGGUAUUCAUUUCUAUGAUCAUAUCGUAGACAGUUUAUCCUCUUGUUACGACGAACUUCACUCUGAAACGGAUUUGAACUUUUCAACAUUUCAGACUUGUGAUUCAUUAAGUAAAUACUCCUAUAUCUACUCAAAUCGUCAGUGAAGUAAGAACAUAAUGAUAUCCACUGCGUGCCUCAGUACCCAUUGGACUGCAUACAUCNGCUACUCAUUUAAGUCAGAGAAUAAUGGUUGUUCUAUUUAUAUGAGUGAUAUGUUUUAUGGUCAUGCUCCGCUGGUGAAUGGUUUAUUCUUGAUGAAUCUCGAUCCUGAUGUUACACAUAUUCAUAGUGUGAGUACCAAAAGAUGCAAAGUUGAUAAUGAUAAUCCCACAUACUUGUGGCACUGCCGCCUUGGUCAUAUCGGCGUUAAGCGCAUGAAGAAGCUCCAUACUGAUGGACUAUUAGAGUCUCUUGACUUUGAAUCAUUUGACACAUGCAAACCGUGCCUCAUGGGCAAGAUGACUAAGACUCCAUUCUCAGGAAUAAUGGAGAGAGCAACCGACUUAUUGGGAAUAAUACAUACUGAUGUGUGUGGUCCAAUGAAUGUUGAAGCUCGCGGUGGUUAUCAUUAUGUUCUCACUCUCACCGAUGAUUUGAGUAGGUAUGGGUAUAUCUACUUGAUGAAGCACAAAUCUGAGACGUUUGAAAAGUUCAAGGAAUUUCAGAGUGAGGUUGAGAAUCAACGUGACAGAAAAAUUAAAUGUCUACGAUCUGAUCGUGGAGGAGAAUAUUUGAGUCACGAGUUUGGAACACACCUAAGGAAGUGUGGAAUCGUUUCACAACUGACGCCGCCUGGCACACCGCAGCGCAACGGAGUGUCUGAACGUCGUAAUCACACUUUAUUAGAUAUGGCACGAUCUAUGAUGUCUCUCACCGACUUACCGCUAUCAUUUUGGGGAUACGCAUUAGAAACUGCAACAUUCACUUUAAAUAGGGCACCGUCUAAAUCCGUUGAGACGACACCGUAUGAACUAUGGUUUGGCAAGAAACCUAAGUUGUCGUUUCUUAAAGUUUGGGGCUGCGAUGCUUAUGUGAAGAAACUUCAACCAGAAAAGCUCGAACCCAAAGCGGAGAAAUGCGUAUUCAUAGGAUACCCUAAGGAAACUAUUGGGUAUACCUUCUAUCUUAGAUCCGAAGGUAAAACCUUUGUUGCCAAGAACAGAUCCUUUCUAGAGAAAGAGUUUCUCUCGAAAGAAGUAAGUGGGAGGAAGGUAGAACUUGAUGAGGUAAUUACACCCCCUCUCGAACAGGAAAGUAGCGCAGCGCGGGAAGUUGUUCCUGUGGCGCCUACACCGACUGAAGAGGAAGUUAAUGAUGAUGAUCAUGAAGCUUCGGAUCAAGUUACUACUGAACCGCGAAGGUCCACAAGGGCACGCUCCGCACCAGAGUGGUACGGCAACCCUGUGAUGGAAAUCAUGUUGUUAGACAACGGUGAACCUUCGAACUAUGAAGAAGCAAUGGCGGGCCCGGAUUCGAACAAAUGGCUUGAGGCUAUGAAAUCCGAGAUAGGAUCCAUGUAUGAGAACAAAGUAUGGACUUUGGUGGACUUGCCCGAUGACCGGCGAGCCAUAGAAAAUAAAUGGAUCUUCAAGAAGAAGACUGAUGCAAACGGUAAUGUAACCGUUUACAAAGCUCGACUUAUCGCAAAGGGUUUUCGACAAAUUCAAGGAGUUGACUACGAAGAGACUAUCUCUCCCGUAGCGAAGCUGAAAUCAGUUCGAAUCAUGUUAGCAAUUGCCGCCUUUUAUGAUUAUGAAAUUUGGCAAAUGGACGUCAAAACAGCGUUCCUUAACGGGAACCUUAAGGAAGAGUUGUAUAUGAUGCAACCAGAAGGUUUUGUCGACCCUAAGGGUGCUAACAAAGUGUGCAAGCUCCAGCGCUCCAUCUAUGGGCUGGUGCAAGCAUCUCAGAGUUGGAACAUUCCCUUCAAUGAGGUGAUUAAAGUGUUUGGGUUCAUACAGGUUUACGGAGAAGCCUGUCUGUACAAGAAAGUGAGUGGGAGCUCUGUAGCUUUCCUCAUACUAUAUGUGGAUGACAUAUUAUUGAUGAGGAAUAAUAUAGAGAUGUUGGAGAGCAUAAAGGCCUAUUUGAACAAGAGUUUUUCAAUGAAGGACCUUGGAGAAGCUGCAUACAUAUUAGGCAUCAAGAUCUAUAGAGAUAGAUUGAGACGCCUCAUAGGUCUUUCGCAAAGUACAUACCUUGACAAGAUAUUGAAGAAGUUCAAUAUGGAAAACUCAAAGAAAGGGUUCUUGCCAGUUUUGCAAGGUAUGAGAUUGAGUAAGACUCAGUCGCCGACCACGGCAGCAGAUAGAGAGAAGAUGAGUUCUGUCCCCUAUGCUUCAGCCGUGGGCUCUCUAAUGUAUGCCAUGCUGUGUACCAGACCUGAUAUAAACCUUGCCAUAAGUUUGGUAGGGAGGUACCAAAGUGAUCCCGGUACGGAACACUGGACAGCGUCAAGAAUAUCCUUAAGUACCUGAAAAGGACUAAGGAAAUGUUUCUCGUUUAUGGAGGUGACGAAGAGCUCGUCGUAAAGGGUUACGUCGACGCUAGCUUCGACACAGAUCCGGAUGACUCUAAGUCACAGACCGGAUACGUAUAUGUGUUGAAUGGUGGGGCAGUGAGCUGGUGCAGCAACAAGCAAGAAGUCGUGGCAGCAUCUACAUGUGAAGCGGAGUACAUAGCUGCUUCAGAAGUGGCUGAUGAAGGAAUUUGGAUGAAGGAGCUCAUCACCGACCUUGGAGUGGUUCCAAGCGCGUCGAGUCCUAUGACACUCUUCUGUGAUAACACUGGAGCCAUUGCCAUAGCCAAGGAGCCCAGGUUUCACCGGAGGACGAAGCACAUCAAGCGCCGCUACAACUCCAUCCAGGACCAUGUCCAGAGUGGAGUGAUAGAUAUUUGUAAAGUACACACGGAUCUGAAUAUUGCAGACCUGUUGACUAAACCUCUUCCACGAGCAAAACAUGAUCAACACCAUAAUGCCAUCGGUGUUCGAUACAUCACAAUGUAACUAGAUUAUUGACUCUAGUGCAAGUGGGAGACUGUUGGAAAUAUGCCCUAGAGGCAAUAAUAAAAUGGUUAUUAUCAUAUUUCCUUGUUCAUGAUAAUCGUCUAUUGUUCAUGCUAUAAUUGUAUUAACAGGAAACAGUAAUGCAUGUGUGAAUAAAUAGAACACAAUGUGUCCCUAGCAAGCCUCUAGUUGGCUAGCUCGUUAGUCAAUAGAUGAUCAUGGUUUCCUGAUCAUGGGCAUUAGAUGUCAUUGAUAACGGGAUCACAUCAUUGGGAGAAUGAUGUGAUGGACAAGACCCAAUCCUAAGCCUAGCACUAGAUCGUAUUGUUCAUAUGCUAAUGCUUUUGUAAUGUCGAGUAUCUUUUCCUUCGACCGUGAGAUUGUGCAACUCCCGGAUACCAUAGGAGUGCUUUGGGUGUAUCAAACAUCACAACGUAACUGGGUGACUAUAAAGGUGCACUACGGGUACCUCCGAAAGUGUCUGUUGGGUUUGUACGAAUCGAGAUCGGGAUUUGUCACUCCGUGUGACGGAGAGGUAUCUCUGGACCCACUCGGUAGAACAUCAUCAUGAGCUCAAUGUGACUAAGGAGUUGGUCACACGAUGACGUGCUAUGGAACGAGUAAAGAGACUUACCGGUAACGAGAUUGAACAAGGUAUAGGUAUACCGACGAUCGAAUCUCGGGCAAGUUCUAUACCGACAGACAAAGGGAAUCGUAUACGGGAUUGAUUGAAUCCUUGACAUCGUGGUUCAUCUGAUGAGAUCAUCGUGGAGCAAGUGGGAGCCACCAUGGCUAUCCAGACCCCGCUGAUAGUUAUUGGCCAGAGAGGUGUCUCGGUCAUGUCUGCCUGUCUUCCGAACCCGUAGGGUCUACACACUUAAGGUUCGAUGACGCUAGGGUCAUAGGGAAUUGUUAUACGAGGUUAUCGAAAGUUGUUCGGAGUCCCGUAUGAGAUCCCGGACAUCACGAGGAGCUCCGGAAUGGUCCGGAGGUAAAGAUUGAUAUAUAGGAAGGAUGGUUUCGGAUACCGGAAGUGUUUCGGGCAUCACCGGUAACGUACCGGGACCACCGGAGGUGGCCCCGGGGGACCACCGAAGGGGGGCAACGACCCCGGGAGGUAAGGUGGGCCAAGUGGGGGUGGGAACCAGCCCCUAGGUGGGUUGGUGCGCCUCCUCACUAAGCCCAUAGCGCAAGGGAUAGAAAAGGGGGGGGGGCAAACCCUAGGCCAGGUGGGCCUAAGGCCCACCAGAUGGUGCGCCACCCCCUCCUCCCCCCUCUGGCCGCCGCACCACCCAUCUGGGAGGGCUGCCGCACCCCCUAGGGUGGGAACCCUAGGGGUGGCACCCCCUCUCGCCUCCCCCUAUAUAUAUCGGGCACUUUUGGCCAUUGAGACACACGGUUUUUCCUCUCUCUCGGCGCAGCCCCGCUCCUCUCCCUCCUCCUCUGUGCCGGUGCUUGGUGAAGCCCUGCCAGGAGACCUCGUCUCUCCAUCGACACCACGCCGUCGUGUUGCUGGAGUUCUUCCCCAACCUCUCCCUCCUCCUUGCUGGAUCAAGGUGCGGGAGACGUCACCGGGCUGCACGUGUGUUGAACGCGGAGGUGCCGUAGUUCAGCACUAGAUCGGAAUCACCGCGACUACGACUCCAUCAACCGCGUUCUAGCAACGCUUCCGCUUAGCGAUCUUCAAAGGUAUGAAGAUGCUCUUACCCCUCUGUCGUUGCUGGUCUCUCCAUAGGAAGAUCUGAAUAUGGGUAGGAAAAUUUUGAAUUUAUGCUACGUUACCCAACAGUGGCAUCCGAGCCAGGUUUUCUAUGCGUAGAUUCUAUGCACGAGUAGAACACAAAAGUUGUGGGCGAUGGUUUGUCAAUUUGCUUGCCGCUACUAGUCUUAUUCUUUUCCGGCGGUAUUGUGGGAUGAAGCGGCCCGGACCGACUUUACACGUACACUUACGUGAGACUGGUUCCACCGACAGACAUGCACAUCGUGCAUAAAGGUGGCUAGCGGGUGUCUGUCUCUCCUACUCCAGUCGGAUUGGAUUUGAUGAAAAGGGUCCUUAUGAAGGGUAAAUAGCUUUGCAAUAUCAUCGUUGUGGCUGUCACGUAGGUAAGAAAGCGUUCUUGCUAGAAACCCAAAUCAGCCACGUAAAACAUGCAACAACAAUUAGAGGACGUCUAACUUGUUUUUGCAGGGUUUGACAUGUGAUGUGAUAUGGCCAAAGUUGUGAUGUUGCAUGUAUGAUGUAUGAGAGGAUCAUGUUAUUGUAAUAGGUUUCACGACUUGCAUGUCGAUGAGUAUGACAACCGGCAGGAGCCAUAGGAGUUGUCUUAAUUUAUUGUAUGAGAUGCAACGCCAUGUGCUUACUACUUUUACUUCAUUGCUAACGGUUAGCUAUAGUAGUAGUGAUAGUAGUAGUUGGCGUGACGACUUCACGGAGACACGAUGAUGGAGAUCAUGAUGAUGGAGAUCAUGGUGUCACGCCGGUGACGAUGAUGAUCAUGCGAUGCCUGAAGAUGGAGAUCGAAAGAGCAAAGAUGAUAAUGGCCAUAUCAUGUCACUAUAUGAUUGCAUUGUGAUGUUUAUCAUGUUUUUACAUCUUAUUGCUUAAAACGACGGUAGCAUAAUAAGAUGAUCCCUCUUAAAAUUUCGAGAACGUAUUCCCCUAAGUGUGCACCGUUGCGAAGGUUCGUUGUCUCGAAGCACCACGUGAUGAUCGGGUGUGAUAGAUUCUAACGGUCGCACACAACGGGUGUAAGCCAGAUUUACACACGCAAAACACCUAGGUUGACUCGACGAGCUUAGCAUGUACAGACAUGACCUCGAAUACAAGAGACUGAAAGUUCGAACAUGAGUCGUAUGGUUGAAUACGAUCAGCAUGAAGUUGCUCACCAUGGUGACUAGUCUGUCUCACGUGAUGAUCGAACACGGGUUAGUCAACAUGGAUCAUGUAUCACUUAGAUGACUAGAGGGAUGUCAAUUUAAGUGGGAGUUCAUACUUAAUUUGAUUAAAUGAACUUAAUUGUCAUGAACUUAGUCUAAAAGUUGUCUUUAUAAAUAUUGUAGAUGUCCAACGUCAACCUCAAUUUCAACGCAUUCCUAGAGAAAAACAAGCUGAAAGAUGAUGGUAGCAACUAUGCGGACUGGGUUCGCAACUUGAAGCUCAUCCUUGAAGCAGCUAAAAAGGCAUAUGUCCUUAAUGCGCCGCUAGGUGACCCUCCCGCUCCCGCAGCAGCCCAGGACAUUCUGAACGUCUGGCAAACGCGGAGUGAUGACUACUCUCUGGUCAGGUGUGGCAUGUUAGACAGUUUAGAAACGGGGCUCCAAAGGCGUUUUGAGCAACACGGGGCAUAUGAGAUGUUCCAGGAGCUGAAGCUAGUUUUUCAAGCUCAUGCCCGUGUCGAGAGAUAUGAAGUCUCCGACGAGUUCUUUAGCUGUAAGGAUAUCCAGACUGCAUAGAAAGAAGAUAGGCACAGAAGACAGUGCUGAGUUUAAAUACUGUAACCUUCCCCCCUGAGCAAGAAAGGAUGAACUAGCACCGAGUCUUCUUUCCAUGUUAUCAACCAGUGUCAUGAGAUCAAUGAUUCUUGGUUUAGUUGUCCCAACUGGAAGGCCAAGGUAUGUGAAGGGCAAAGAUCCCACUUUGCAACCAAUGGAGUCUGCCAGAUCCUGUAGAUGCUGAGGAGGAGUGUUAACAGGUAAAAGGGCAGAUUUGUCAUAGUUCACGUGUAAUCCACUGGACUGGGAGAAAAGUAAGAGCAUUUUCUUGAACUGCAACAACUGAGGUUUAUCAGCAGGUAGGAUGAUAAGGGUAUCAUCAGCAUAUUGCACUAUGGAGAAAUCCUUAUCAUGACAAGGUAUGGGCAGCUGAAUCAGACCCUCCACUAGAAGUUGAUUAAUCAGAGUGUGUAAAAAGUCAGCAUCAAUAGCAAAAAGAAGUGGAGACAUGGGAUCUCCUGCCCCCCCCUGACACCUUUCUUGCACAUUAAACUUCUUUCCAGGCACACCAUUGAUGAGGACUGAAGAUGAGCCAGAAGUUAGGAGUUGCUUGACCCAAAGUAUCCAUCUUUCAUUGAAGCCUUUGUGCUUGAGAAUCUGGAAAAUGAACUCAUGUUCCACAGAAUCAAAUGCCUUUUCAAAAUCCAACUUGAGAAUGACUAUAGGUUUCUUGGAUUGAUGGCAUUGGUGCAGGUACUCCAGAGUCCAUCCAACACAAUCUUGAAUGGUCCUUGACUUGAUAAAACCAUACUGAUUCUUGUGAAGACACUUCACAAUGUGCAACUGUAGCCCGUUAGCAAUCAUUUUGGACAGAAAUUUGAGACCCAUCCCAGUAAGUGAUAUUGGUCUGUAAUCUCCCACAUGUUCAGGUGAUCUCUUAUUUGGAAUCAGAGUAAUAUAAGAUGAGUUCAUGUUCUGAAGUUGAGCCUGACCAGCAUGGAAAGCAGGAGCAAGUUGAUAAAACUCGGGGGAGAUAAUGGGCCAGCAUUUCUUGAAGAAAAGACCAUUGAACCCAUCAGGACCUGGAGCUUUGUCAAUGGGCAUAUCCUGAACAGUCUUGUCCAUUUCAGACUUAGAAAAAGGUUCUGUGAGAAUAUCUAGACCCUCCACCUUAUGUAGCAUGUAUUGUAAAUCAAAUGCCAUGUUAAUGCCAAGAGAAGUUCCCAUUCUAUCCUUAAAAGAUGCCCAAAAGCAUGCAUCUAUUUGAUCAUGAUCAGAAAUGAUAGAACCAUCAUUUAACUUGAGAGAUGCAAUGGAAUUCCUCCUAUAUCUCAGUAGCCAUAGCAUGAAAGAAUUUAGUUUUUUUUCCUCACCAACCUUAACAAAUCUGAUAGUGGCUCUCUUUUUCCAGUAUAAGCACUGGAGAUCCAAAUGUAAUUUGACAAUUUUCCUGAAAUUAGCUUCAGGUCUGAAAAGUGACCUCAACUCCUCAAGCUCAUCCAAACACAACACAACUUGAUUAUAUCUGGAAAUAAAAGUUUUUAACUGUGAUAGAUUUGUCUGCCAUUUUUUCAGAGCCUGCCUAAGAUGCUUCACUUAUCCAUAAUGACAGCAGUAAUGUGGGUUUUUCUUGAAGGAAUGAGCCAGGAUUGCUGAACACAUUCCAUGAAGCCCUCCAUUUCAAGCCAGUAGUUUUCAAAGCAAAAUAGGUUGCAUUUAGGGAUGGAAGUGUUGACAGUGACCACACAAGGAACAUGAUCAGAAGCAGUCUUUGCAAGGGGUAGCACUUGUGUAAGAGGAUAUGAGGAGAUCCAGUUGGCUGAUGUGAAAAACCAGUCAAGCUGCUCCAAAAGAGGGGAAUCUUGCAUAUUGGACCAAGUGAAAGAUCUGCCUUUAAUGGGUAGUUCCAGCAAUCCCAGAUGCCCAAUAAUUUCAUUCAAGAUGAACAUGUCAUUUCCAUCAGCCCAGGAAGGUUUCUGUUGUCAGGGGAUCUAAUGAAAUUAAAAUCUCCAAGAAGCAACCAAUUAGCCCCAGUGGGUAUAUGAAGAUUAUAUAGCCAGCUAACAAAAAGAUCUCUGGCUUCACCUUGACAAGGACCAUAGACAUUCACUAAAGUCCAUGAUUCACCAGUGUGAUUUGAGGUAAAAGAGAUGAUCAAGCCAUAGGAUGUGCAUUCCACUAAUUGACUAGUAAGAAUGGAAGAGUUCCAAAGGGUGAUAAGCCCCACUGAUGCACCCCUCGAGGGAGAGUAGGCAAACUGAUCAAAGCGUUUGGGACAGAAACAUUUUACUGUACGAAACUCGAUUGACUGCAUUUUGGUUUCCUGCAAGCACACCACAGCAGCUAGGCCCUCAUCAAUCUUGUUACGGACCGCACGUUGCCUAUGGUCUGAAUUUAGGCCACGCACAUUCCAACACAGCACACACCAACUUCUCAUAGAACGACUAUCCAUUGCACAAUAUAUAUGUAGCAAAAGCAGGGCUAUGUAAUAGCCAGUGCCACCAAGGUUCAGAUAACAAAAAUACAGAGCAAGCAGAAGUUUCACAGUACAUGGAGCCAGUAUAGUAACAAAUUAACAUAGGUGGAUUAAACAUCAGCAGACGAUGGCGCGGAAUCAGCAGGACCUUCCAUAAGUCGAUCCACCGUUAGCUUCUCAGGGGCAAUGCCUAAUGACUGCCCAACCUCCUGAAUCGCUAGAAUAGGAGUGGCAGGAGGUACUUGCACAUCCUCACUCUCCUGCGAUGUAGAGGGCAUUGGCUUGGCCUUGGGCUUCCUCUUCUUGGGGACGUGCGCAGGCAGCUCCUGCAGGAUUGGUUUGAAGCCAUCGCGCUUGAUGGAGCCGCGAGUACAACGACGGACAGAGGAGUCAACGACAGGAGUGGCCUUCUUGCGGGUCCGCUUCUUCGAUGGAGCAGGAGAAUGAAAAGAUAAGUCCUCUGCAGAUGAAGAAGGACUGAGAGGGAUUACCUCCUGCAUUGAGAGAGAGCUACUAGCAGGCUCUGAUUGUGGUGGUUCUGGAGCAUCAGGGUCGAAAGCUGCCACCCAGGAUCGCUUGGGGAUCAUAAUGGGCUCUAGAAUUGGCACCUGCAGUUGGCGAGGCACGUGCAUAGAAGUAGCAGCUCCCAUGAGAGCAUCGAAAGUGUGUGCCCAGGAAAGAACUGGCGGCAGAGGAGGACCGUACACAACCCUUGCAGCCCCAACAAAGAUGUUGUCAGUCUGAAUGUGAGGGGGUUUGUAGAGGACAAUUGCCAGAGGAUUGUCAUCAUGCGCCUCCUCCAUCACAGGCACAUCUUCCUCCGGCUCAGCAUCAUGGCCCUGGGCAGCCGGUGUCAUGUCAGCAUCAGGGGCAAAAGGGUUAGCCACUAUCCCCUCCAGGUCAGGGGCCGGGGGUGCUUGAUCAGCAGGUUCCGCCUCCAUUUCACCCUGCGACUGAGCGUCGAGGUCCACAAGCUCAUGAACUGAGUCCGAAGAAGAAGGACUCGGUUGAUCAAUCACCAUAGACUCUUGAUCCUGAACAGGAUCAGCAGCAGGUGCUUCCGGGGCCGCUUCAGGUCCCCAUCCUCCUCCAUCAGCGGCUGGAGGCGGCUGUCUCCAACCUCUGGCAUCAGCAGCAGGAACCACUGGAUCUUCAGGCACCAGCGCCACCGCAUUCCAACCCAACGCAGGAUACGGGGGCAGAGCAAAUUGCAGAUUGUCAUGGACGAGGUGUCCAGGGAGCGGAUGAGGGUUGCCAUUGAGGGGCAUGGGAUCCUCAUCAUUAGGCAGAAUCUCGGCAGCCGCCGCUCCCAGGAUGUAUACCGGCGCAGACCAGGAGACCUUGGCACCCCCAAGCAGCAUAUAUAGAAAAGUUGAUACUGCGAGGGACCAGUCGGUCAUCUGGGAACAAAGCAAACACGAUGGAGCGAACCAAAUAAGGAUCAUCACAGACCCAAUGGAGGAACUCUCCGAAGGUGUUGACAGCAGCCCGGAGAUCUUCAGUGUUGCGGAAGUCGCGGGGGACACUGUUGGAAUUAUGCCCUAGAGGCAGUAAUAAACAUAGUUAUAUUAUAAUUCCUGUAUCAAGAUAAUCGUUUAUUAUCCAUGCUAUGAUUGUAUUGAAUAAGACUUAUAUACAUGUGUGGAUACAUAGACAAAUACUGUCCUAGCAAGCCUCUAGUUGCUAGCCAGUUGAUCAAAGAUAGUCAGUGUCUUCUGUAUAUGAAGAAAGUGUGUUGCUUGAUAACUGGAUCAUGUCAUUANNNNNNNNNNNNNNNNNNNNNNNNNNNNNNNNNNNNNNNNNNNNNNNNNNNNNNNNNNNNNNNNNNNNNNNNNNNNNNNNNNNNNNNNNNNNNNNNNNNNUAUUAAAAACCACAUCAUUUCAGGUAAGCCAUAGUGCCCAGCAUCAGGCAGCGCCCACAGAAUANGUGCAUCAAAUGUUGAUCAYCCCAAAAACAAUUGUCAAACAUGUUACAUACUCAACGUGGGCGUAUAGAUUUGAAACUACUUUCUAUGGCUAGACUGCACAAGAGAAUUUAUACUGAAAAGUAAGUGUUUAAUCGAUGCAUCACGCAAAAGACACAUGUCUUGCCACCUUGCCCAUUACAUCAUGCCAGAUUAUCUCUAUUCAAGAUGACCCGUAUGUGAAAACAUGCAUGUAAAAUCUUCAAUCGUAGAGGAAUUUUGAGCUUUCACAAUUUCUUGUUGUUGAACGAAACAUCACAAUGAACCAUAUUCUAUUUUAUAUACCUUCUUCAAUUUUACUAGUGCUUUCAUCCCUAGAGAAACUUACAGUAUGCUUCCUUUUCAGCUCUAUUCUGCUCGCAACAUGAUUCAUUCUUACUUCAUUUUUCUUAUCCUAAGAAGAAGAAUAAAUUUGGGAAACUUUAUUUGGAGUCAUCUGGUUUAUCUCUUUUGCUUCUCUCUUUCCAUGCUUUUUUCAUAUUGUACAAUUGCUAUAGUUGAACACAUAAAUAUUUAUUUAGUAAAUAACAUGUAUAAAUAAGGCUAGCGACAUAACGUUGAUGAUUCCUAGAUUGUCUUCUUAUAUGUUUACAUUGAGUAUGUUUGAAUAUAUUUUUUGUAAAUAACCCAUAUAGCAAAUAUCAUGUACAACGGUACUAGUAAGGCGUUGGGUUGAAUCUUGAUGAGGGGUAGCUGGAAAGAAUCAAAGCAGAACCAUGCCAACCAAGAUUAUGAGGUGUCCGUUCACUUAUUGGGUUCAAUUUGUACACACCAUAUAAAACGUAUACUAUGAUGAUCUCGCUUGUUUAUUUUGAAAGUCAAUGAUCUUGGAAAUAUAUUAACAUUCAUAUCUCUGGACGUAACUCUGCCAUUUGCGCCAAUUGACGCAACAGGUCAUUACGUAUCACUAAAGCUAGGAUCGCUCCCUCGUGUUUGACGACCCCAACUAUAUUUCCCCAUGUCGCUUCCACUUGAUCGAAAUCGUGAAUUAAUUGACCUGGAUGCAUGUAUGCUGGGUAUAUUCAUUGUAGUACAUACUGCUGCUUCAAAUAAAGGGUAUGAUCAGGAGGACACGGGUUGCCUCUUGAGAAGAUAAUCCACAUCUGCUCGGAAGGUCGUUGUGUGGCUAGCGUAUCGUGUGUAGUGGACAUUUCUUUACUAUUAUAUGCAUCCAUGAAACGAAGUUUUUCCUGAGCAGGCCCUCACGUGGCAUCCAUGGUGACACAAAAUCUUGGUUGCAUUUUCAAACCGAUGAGGUCUUCACUUGUUUUUUAGGACCCGGUGAGGUCUCCGGUAAUUUUGUACGAACAGGUGAGGUCUCCGCUUACUGAUUGGCUUCAAUUUUACCUAGAUUAAAUAUGUCGAUAAUUAACCACCUGAAAUGCAUAUUAGUAUGAUCUCACUUUGUUAUUUUUGAAGGCCAUAAUCUUGAAAAUAGAUUACCAUACACUUCUUCUAGAGUAACUCCGUCAGUUUCGUCAAUUGGCGCAACAAGUCAUCUAGUAUCACUAAAAAUAGGAUCUCCCCGGCCCAUCAUGUUUGGCAACCCUGACUCCCUUUUUUCCAAUGUCUCUUGCACUUGAGAUAAAUCGUUAAUUAAUUUAAUUGGAUGCAUACAUGACAGGUAUAUUCAAUCUCGUAUGUAAUACUGUUUCAAAUAGAGGGCAUGAUUUUCUGCUACACAGGCUGCCUCUUGAGAAGCUAAUCAAAUGUCGUUCUAUGGCGUAUUGUGUGUGUGUGUGUUUGUGACCAGAAUCCCUCCUCCUUUCACUCUUGUAUCGUUCCGAGCUUUGAUUGUUUUUGUAUUUGUCUCAUGCAUUUGUUUGUAUUUGAGAUUGUUAUUCCGGUUGUAUCCAGGCUUUGCUAUGGAUGGGUCUCUAGUGUAGUAGGAACGAGAAAAGAACAAACACAAUAUAACAUACUCCCUCCUUUCCGGUUUAUAGGGUCAUCUCUAAAUUUUCAGAUUUCCAUUAUAUUAGGCUCAUUUUGAGUCUAAGUGAGUUAAAGUGCUUUGAGUCUCACGUCAUAUUUAAUUCAUAGAGUUUAGAGAAAGGAGAUGAGUGGCUAUGCAUGCAUCGUUUUCUAUAUCGAUCAUGCAAGUCCAAUGAAAGGAAGGAGGCUACAUUUAUUGCCUUGGAAAUUGCAUAUGUAAGAAAUAUUUCAUUGGCUAGUUUAAACUAGUGUCUUCCACUCACAAUUCACCUUGAUAGAUGAGAUUUCAGAUUUGAGCCAUAUANNNNNNNNNNNNNNNNNNNNNNNNNNNNNNNNNNNNNNNNNNNNNNNNNNNNNNNNNNNNNNNNNNNNNNNNNNNNNNNNNNNNNNNNNNNNNNNNNNNNUGUUUGUGUUGCUAGAGAACAAAAUUUACAUUUUACUUAUACUUUAAAUAAUCUUAUUUCUGCAAUUUAUUUUAAAAAUAAAAUAAGAAACUGUUUCAAGGAAACUAAGAAUAGUUUUUAGUGGCGUUGUCGUGAUGCUUAUUGAAGGUUGUGUAGCAACGAUACCUAAAUUUUUUCACAUGACAUGCGCUGAUUUAUCGCAUUAAUUUGGAUAACAUAACAAAUAAUAAUACACUACUUUGUUAAUACAGCAAGCUCUUAUGAAAAGUUCUAGUUAAUCAGAAUGUAAGUUAAAGACCGAGUAUUUCAAAAAGAGACGGUUACACUAUUAUAAGUUCUGCUUGGGAGAAGAUAAUAAUUCUGACCCUGAAUAGUCCAAAACCUCAAAUACCAAAAUUACCACAGCCACACGAGUUGUCCUAGUCGUCCUCAACGCCGACCCAUAUCAUCUUCUCCUCCCCUCACAAGAAUUACCAGAACCUGCAGAUUUCGGAGGAAUAUAUUUUAGUUUCAACAUAACAAAUCACAAACCAGAUACAUUAUAUCUGCAUUCUUGCCAAUAAUGGACAUGUAUUCUACCAUGAAAUAGUAAUGCAUCAAAAUUAUCUACCGACAACAUAUUGGAAGCUAGCAAACCGAAACAUUUGAUUAUGUGCAUGUUAGCAACUGUGAAUACACAAAUGAUAGCAAAUGGACUGAUAAGCCAAAUCAUCCCUACGAUAGGAUACCCGGCCAGGCAUGAGGUAACCAUACCAUAUAUUCCAAAAGAAAACGAGAAACUGGUAUUGCCUUACCAUGCCCUUCAAAUGUCAGGAUACAAAGUAAAAAAAAAGUGCAACGCCAAGGCUGGCAAGUAGGACAUUAAAACAAUUUAAUAUGAAUACAUUUAAUAUCAUAAGCUGAUUAGCAAUGGACUCUCAAGAAGUAUAUAUGAAUUUAUGCAUUGAAUCUCCAUGUCUACCAAUGAUUUGAAUAUUAGAAUCAGUUUCAUCGAACUACAUAGAAAUUCAAGCUGAUUAGAUAAUAUAAUGUGCAAUUUGAACAAUUAAAAUUGGCAUCCUCGGUAAAUUAAAUAUCUAGAUGGAUCUCAAGGGAGAGAUAUCCAUGCUACGAUUGACAACUAGAACUUCAUGGCUAAAAGAUGUUUGGUCCAUUUUCAGUUUAUACAAUUAGCAAAGAGGUACUCGCAAGCAGUGCUCCUAUUAGCACCUAAAAAGUAAAGUAAAAACAAUUAAUAAGAAGGUAAUCUUACCAAGCCUCAUGAGUUCACAUGGAUCUCCAAAGAGUGACCCUUCUAUUGAUAGGUUCCACAUGCCCUCAAAAUGACUGCCAAGAACCAUUUUCAUAUGCAAUGCCUCAUCCCGUGAAACCUCCGGCAUACAACAAGACUCAUCGAUAUAAUAACACAUAGAAUCGUGUUGCAUAAAUAAACAACUAAAGCAUACUGCUAGGUCUCGGCUGGCCAAGAACUCAUUUCAUUUUGGAUAGACUGAUGUCACCAACAUGUGUGUGUGUGUGUGUGUGUGUGCGCGCGUGCGUGCGCGUAUGUGUAUGUGUGUGUGAGAGAGUGAGAGAGAGUGUGUGUGUGUGUGUGUGUGUGAAAUCCCUCCUUAAUUUCAUUUUUCUAUCGUUCCUAGCUUUGAUUGGUUUUCUACAUGUGUUGUAAUUUCUGAUGACACAACACUUGUAUUGGAUCCAUCUAUUGUCAUCAUUUCUUGGCUUCAUUGUGGAUCGGUUUAUUGAUUAGUUGGUAGACCAAUGUAGUAGUUGAAAGAUUCGGAAAGUCCUAUUGGAGCCCUAGCAUACUCGAGCUCUUUGCUUAAAAAAUCAAAAAGUAAUGUUUUGAAAUUUCAAAACAACUACUUUUGGAAUGCCUUGAUGGAUGGAUCCUCAUAGAACAAACCUUGUGUCGUCACCACCAUAUUCUUCACACGUACCUCCGAUUGUAUGAUACACGUAUCAAAAUUAAUAUCCAUGCCAUGUUGCUUCCAGAAUAACUUCAUCCUCAUGGUUCCAUUUUCUUGAUAAAGGACAUUUCAUUCAAUUGAUAUAUCGAAGUGAUACAACCGCGUCGAAAGAAUGACCGGCCUCGACACAGCAAGUUGCACACAUCCAACAAGUCCAACAAACAUAGCAAUAAGCAUCGAUUUAUGGAAAAGAUAAAUAAAUCCAACCUAUGGUGCGGCAAUUCCUAUCCGGAUAUUACACCGCCAUUCAUGGAAAGAGAAAACAUUCCUAGCUGUAUAUUCCAGGCAUGCCGACGCCAUCAUAAAAAGGUCUUUGUCCUAUGGACUUUGAAAGAUAGGCCAAGUACGGAGCAAUCACGUAUAUGCAUGAAUAACCUGCACAUGAGAUGAAAAAUAUUUAUUGUUAAAAACAACAUCAUUUCAGGUAAGCCACAGUGCCCAGCAUAAGGCAGCCGCCCCACAAGAAUAUGUGCAUGAAAUUGUUGAUCAAUACCCCAAAAACAAUUGUCAAACAUGUUACAUACUCAACGUGGGCGUAUAGAUUUGAAACUACUUUCUAUGGCUAGACUGCACAAGCGAAUUUAUACUGGAAAGUAAGUGUUUAAUCGAUGCAUCACGCAAAAGACACAUGUCUUGCCAUCUUGCCCAUUACAUCAUGCCAGAUUAUCUCUAUUCAAGAUGACCCCUAUGUGAAAACAUGCAUGGAAAAUCUUCAAUCUUAGAGGAAUUUUGAGCUUUCACAAUUUCUUGUUGUCGAACGAAACAUCACAAUGAACCAUAUUCUAUUUUAUAUACCUUCUUCAAUUUUCCUAGUGCUUUCAUCCCUAGAGAAACUUACAGUAUGCUUCCUUUUCAGCUCUAUUCUGCUCGCAACAUGAUUUAUUCUUACUUCAUUUUUCUUAUCCUAAGAAGAAGAAUAAAUUCGGGAAACUUUAUUUGGAGUCACCUGGUUUAUCUCUUUUGCUUCUCUCUUUCCAUGCUUUUUUCAUAUUUUACAAUUGCUAUAGUUGAACACAUAAAUAUUUAUUUAGUAAAUAACAUGUAUAAUAAAUGCCUUAAAAAACCACAAUGGAGAUGUGCGACUCCCACCUCCCACCUCCCACCGCGGCGACCCAAUGGCGAUCUGGCACUCUAGCCGGCGUAUCCUCCCUCCUCGCCGCUCCUCUUCUCACGUGAACCCUCCCGACCCUCCAGUAGUGGGGACGGGGCCUUUAGCCCCGGCCCGUAAGGGGCUUUAGUCCCGGUUCACCAACCGGGACUAAAGGGGCGGGACUAAAGGCCUAACCUUUUCGUCCCGGCCCUGUUACAAGCCGGGACUAAAUGUGCUCCACGUGGGCGUCUCGUAGCACCCCAGGGGCAGGCCCUUUAGUCCCGGUUCGUUACAAGGACCGCGACUAAAGAUUUCAGAUUUUGCCUAUUUUUGGUUUUUUUUGAAUGAAAUUAUUUUAGGGUUUUAGGGUUUUAGGGUUUAGGUGUUCGGGAGAUUAACGUGAUGCCUCGUUUGGUGUUCGGGAAUUAGUUUUUAUAUAAUUUAAAUAGAAAUAAUUAUGCAUAUAUAUAAGAUUAACUUAUCUUACAAGUGAGCAUAUAUAUACAAUUAUAUGGAGAUCUGAAUUAUCGGGACUAGAGCCCAUCUAUUCGUUUACAUGGACGAACAUCAGUAAUGGCCCCUAGCUACACUAAAUCGUCCUUUGUCAUCUAUAGCUUCCGUCCUCAGAAAGGUUGCAAGCUCCUCUGCAACAGCAAUCGCGCAUUGCUCUGGUAGGACCUUCGUCGUCAUGGCCGUGUGCUAUAUAAGAAGAGGAGAUGAAUAUGAAUAUCAAUCAUGAUAACAAAGAAUGACGGGUAAAAAUAGAGGUGUGAAUGUUCAUUGCUUACGUCGAAUCUGUGAUCCUUGUGCUCAGAGGUAAACGUGCGAAUGAUCUGGCAAACAUAGUAUCCGCAUAGAUGCGUUUCCCGUGGCUGCUGGUCGCACUUUACGAGAAUAGAAUAUAUAUAAUCAAAAUAAUAAUCUAGCAUCAUAAAUGUAUUGAAAAUUAAUAGAAGUAUAUCAUACUACUACUUACCUGAGCCGCUCUGAAGGUCAGCUUCUCAUGAAAGUUACCGGGAGUCACGCACUUGAACCGCUUCCAAACCCUGCCCGACAAGGAUAAUGAUUUGCUAAGUUUUUUAUUAAUUGAUAUAUCAGAAAAUCAUCGAAAGAGACCGAUAGAGCGCAAGAAUGAUUAAAAUUACCCUUGGAGCAUGUCCUGCAGACUUUGGAACUGUUUCAAGGGUCUCGAUAAUGGGUCGAAGGCAUCAACUCUUCCCUUAUCAAUUUGAAUGUCCAACAGAAUCCAAUGGAAGCUGCACAUGUAUAUAUAKAKAUGWNNNNNNNNNNNNNNNNNNNNNNNNNNNNNNNNNNNNNNNNNNNNNNNNNNNNNNNNNNNNNNNNNNNNNNNNNNNNNNNNNNNNNNNNNNNNNNNNNNNNAUAAAUAAAUCCAACCUAUGGUGCGGCAAUUCCUAUCCAGAUAUUACACCGCCAUUCAUGGAAAGAGAAAACAUUCCUAGCUGUAUAUUCCAGGCAUGCCGACGCCAGCAUAAAAAGGUCUUUGUCCUAUGGACUGUCCAAGAUAGACCAAGUACGGAACAAUCGCGUAUAUGCAUGAAUAACCUGCACAGGAGAUGAAACAUAUUUAUUAUUAAAAACCACAUCAUUUCAGGUAAGCCAUAGUGCCCAGCAUCAGGCAGCCGCCCCACAAGAAUAUGUGCAUCAAAUUGUUGAUCAAUACCCCAAAAACAAUUGUCAAACAUGUUACAUACUCAACGUGGGCGUAUAGAUUUGAAACUACUUUCUAUGGCUAGACUGCACAAGAGAAUUUAUACUGAAAAGUAAGUGUUUAAUCGAUGCAUCACGCAAAAGACACAUGUCUUGCCACCUUGCCCAUUACAUCAUGCCAGAUUAUCUCUAUUCAAGAUGACCCGUAUGUGAAAACAUGCAUGUAAAAUCUUCAAUCGUAGAGGAAUUUUGAGCUUUCACAAUUUCUUGUUGUUGAACGAAACAUCACAAUGAACCAUAUUCUAUUUUAUAUACCUUCUUCAAUUUUACUAGUGCUUUCAUCCCUAGAGAAACUUACAGUAUGCUUCCUUUUCAGCUCUAUUCUGCUCGCAACAUGAUUCAUUCUUACUUCAUUUUUCUUAUCCUAAGAAGAAGAAUAAAUUUGGGAAACUUUAUUUGGAGUCAUCUGGUUUAUCUCUUUUGCUUCUCUCUUUCCAUGCUUUUUUCAUAUUGUACAAUUGCUAUAGUUGAACACAUAAAUAUUUAUUUAGUAAAUAACAUGUAUAAUAAGGCUAGCGACAUAACGUUGAUGANNNNNNNNNNNNNNNNNNNNNNNNNNNNNNNNNNNNNNNNNNNNNNNNNNNNNNNNNNNNNNNNNNNNNNNNNNNNNNNNNNNNNNNNNNNNNNNNNNNNUUGAAAAGCACUACAAAUGAACUCUGAAAAUGUUGAAAGUUGGCAUGCUACUUCACCUUCAGUUUCACCCUACGACUAGCACUAGGUGUUAAAACGUCGAGAGGGCUACGACAAAAACUGGAUGCACUUCGUGUACAAAACGGACAAUCUCUCUCGAAGUAUGAGGGUUUCGAACGAGAACUCAUCUCUUACAUGGAUACUAUGAAAAUGAGAAGUGUUUGAAAUUUAGUACAUUCCAUACAUGCAUUACAUAAAAGGUUUAAUACAUUAUUACAUUAUUGCACCAAUAUUGCUAUCUAUUAUUUCUGUUUUCUUCUGGGUCGUAGCCAUGGAGAAUCUUCAUCAUUCAGUAGGAUGCUUGGGUCAGUUUUCACUUUCAAGGGCGGAAUUUCAUGAAACUUAUUAUAAUCUUCUGACAUGUCUGUCUUGUCAUCUACUCCCACGAUGUUAUUUCCCUKKAAAGAACUAUGUAGCGUUUUUGGCUUCAUCGGACGAUUAUCUUUCYUUUUGUUGAUUUCUUUUUGUCGUUAAUGUAGACAUGUCCUUCACAUAGAAAACCUGACCGACAUCAUUGGCUAGGACAAAUGGUUCGUCCAUGUACGCAAGAUUGUUGAGAUCCACAGUUGUCAUGCCGUACUUUUGGUCUACAACUACCCCGCCUCCUGUCAGCUUCAUCCAUUUGCACCGAAAUAAAGGAAUCUUAAAAGUAGGUCCAUAGUCAAGUUCCCAUAUCUCCUCUAUGUACCCGUAAUAUGUUUCCAAACAGUGCCCAUUCUCGUCUGUUGCAUCAAAGCGGACACCACUAUUUUGGUUGGUGCUCUUUUUAUCUUGGGCAACCAUGUAAAAUGUAUUCCCAUUUAUCUCAUACCCUUGGAAAGUACAUAUAGUCGAAGAUGGUAGCCUGGCCAAACAGUACAGCUCAUCUUCAAUGGUGUCGUCAUUCAUGAGAUGUGUCUGCAACUAACUGCCGAAAGUCUUCUCGUGUUCCCCUUUAAUCCAAGAGUCAGCCUUCCCCGGGUUUUCGGAGCGUAGAAUAUUCUUGUGUCUCACGAUAUACGGAGCCACCACGGUGGAAUUGUGUAGAACUGUGUAGUGUGGUUGAGAGAAAGAAUGCCCGUCCAUACAUACUUUUGCUUUCCUUCCUAGUGUGCCUUUUCCUGUCAGCCUACCCUCAUACCGAGAUUCAGGAACACCAAUCGGCUUAAGGUCAGGAAGAAAGUCCAUACAAAACUCAAUGACCUCCUCUGUUCCAUAGCCCUUGGAGAUGCUUCCUUCUGGCCUAGCACGGUUACGAGCAUAUUUCUUUAAUACUCCCAUGAACAUCUCGAAGGGGAACAUAUUGCGUAGAAACACAGGACCGAGAAUUCUAAUCUCUUCGACUAGGUGAACUAGGAGGUGUGUCAUUAUAUUGAAGAAGGAUGGCGGGAACAACAACUCAAAGCUGACCAGACAUUGGACCACAUCAAUCUGUAACCCUGAUAGACUUUCUCGAUCGAUUACCUUCUGAGAAAUUGCAUUGAGGAAUGCACAUACCUUCCCAAUUGCUAGGCGAACAUUUUGCGGUAGAAUUCCCCUCAAUGCAACCGGAAGCAAUUGCGUCAUAAGCACGUGGCAGUCAUGAGACUUUAGGUUUUGGAAUUUUUUGUCUUCAUAUUUACGAUUCCCUUUAUAUUCGACAAGAAGCCAGUCAGGACCUUGAUACUGAACAGGACUUCAAAGAAGAUUUCCUUCUCUUCCUUAGUAAGAGCGUAGCUGGCACGCCCUUGAAACUGCCCUGGAUGCAUGCCAUCUCUUCCUUUAUGACGUUCCUGGUCCUCCCGUGCUUCCGGUGUAUCUUUUGACUUCCCAUACAAACCCAGGAAGCCUAGAAUAUUCACGCAGAGAUUCUUCGUCAGGUGCAUCACGUCGAUUGCCGAGCGGACCUCAAGGACUUCCCAGUAGGGUAGCUCCCAAAAUAUAGAUUUCUUCUUCCGCAUGGGUACGCGCUUAUCAUGGCCGUUAGGAACAGGUUGGCUGCCAGGACCCUUUCCAAAGAUUACUUUUAAAUCUUUGACCAUAUCAAAUACUUCAGCACCAGUACGGAUGGCAGGCUUCCCCCGGGGUUCUGCCUUGCCAUUGAAAUGCUUGCCUUUUUUCUUUAAGGGAUGCUUGGGCGGAAGAAAACGACGAUUGUAUGGAUACACAUUCUUCCUACAGUUGUCGAGAUAUAUACUUUCUGUCUGAUCCAAACAGUGCGUGCAUGCAUUGUAUCCCUUGUUUGACUGUCCUGAAAUGUUACUAAGAGCAGGCCAAUCAUUGAUGGUUACCAAAAGCAACGCUCGAAGGUCAAAUUCCUCUUGUUUGUUCUCGUCCCACACACGUACACCUGGUUCGGCCCACAGCUUUAAAAGUUCAUCAACUAAUGGCCUUAGGUACACAUCAAUAUUGUUGCCGGGUUGCUUUGGACCUUGUAUAAGCACUGGCAUCAUAAUGAACUUCCGCUUCGUGCACAACCAAGGAGGAAGGUUGUAGAUACAUAGAGUAACGGGCCAGGUGCUGUGACUGUAACUCUGCUCCCCAAAAGGAUUCAUGCCAUCUGUACUCAGACCUAACCAUAAGUUCCUUGCGUCAGCUGCAAAUCUCGGGAACUCUCUCUCGAUUUUUCUCCACUGCCGACCAUCAGUGGUGUGCCUCAACUUAUCGUCUUUCAUACGAUCUUCCAUGUGCCAUCGCAACAACUUUGCAUGAUCUUUAUUUCUGAACAUACGUUUCAACCAUGGUAUUAUAGGAGCAUACCACAUCACCUUGGCAGGAACCCUCUUCCUGGGUGGCUCGCCCUCAAUAGCACCAGGGUCAUCUUUUCUGAUCUUAUACCGCAAUGUAGUGCAUACCGGGCAUUUAUCCAUAUUCUCGUACUUCUCACCGCGGUAGAGGAUGUAGUCAUUAGGGCAUGCAUGUAUCUUCUGCACGUCUAAUCCUAGAGAGCAGACAAGCUUUUUUGCUUCAUACGUGCUGGCGGGCAAUUCGUUCUUUCUUGGAAGCAUCUUCUUCAUCAGUACCAGCAACUUUUCGAAUGACGAGUCAGUCACACCGGUCUCUGCCUUCCACUUCAGCAAUUCCAGUGUGCUACCCACCUUCUUCUAGCCAUCUUCACAAAUUGGGUACAACAAUUUGUUGUGGUCCUGUAACAUCUGCUCGAACUGCAACCUCUCCUUUUCUCUUUUCUGUGUCGCAACCUCGCCGUGCAUCAGAAAUGACCCGGCCAAGAUCAUCAGCGGGCUCAUCUGGUUCCCGUUCUUCAUCCUGAUCUUCUUCUUCAUUGUCUUCCAUUGCGGUAUCAGCAUACUCAGGGAACAUAGAUCGGUAGUUGUCAUCAUCGUUCUCUUCUUCUGCAUCGUCGUCUUCCAUCAUAACCCCUCUUUCUCCGUGCUUGGUCCAAACAUUAUAGCCCGACAUAAAACCGGACCGAAACAGGUGGCUCUGAAUGACUCUUGAGGAAGUGUAAUCCUUCUCAUUCCGACAUUCAACACAUGGACAAAACAUAUAGCCACCACCAUGCUUGUUCGCAUCGGCUGCAUCUCGAAAAGAAUCCACGCC